rnacentral:rRNA from 1 species
UACGAAGGGGGCUAGCGUUGCUCGGAAUUACUGGGCGUAAAGCGCACGUAGGCGGCUUUCUAAGUCGGGGGUGAAAUCCUGGAGCUCAACUCCAGAACUGCCUUCGAUACUGGAAAGCUCGAGUCCGGGAGAGGUGAGUGGAAUACCCAGUGUAGAGGUGAAAUUCGUAGAUAUUGGGUGGAACACCGGUGGCGAAAGCGGCUCACUGGCUCGGUUCUGACGCUGAGGCGCGAAAGCGUGGGGAGCAAACAGG